GGAGAGACAGAGAGGAUGUGAAUGGGGAGGGGGCAGUCGUCCCCUUCCCCCACCCUUCCCUUCUAGCCGGGCUGGGGUGGGGGGAGGGGCCGGACUGAGGCGGCGGCGGCGGCGGCCAGCUCCGGGAGGGCAGAGCCGGCAAGGGCGGGACUGGCCCGCUGCGGACGGACGAGGGAACCGCGGAGCUAACGGGUCCGGACGCCGCCAGCGGCGGCGGCUUUCUGCACGGGCGGAGGCGGCGACAGGAGCGGCGAGCAUGGCCCGCGCGGCGCCCGGCGCUGACUGAGGAUCAGGGUAGGAAGCAUCCCAGAGGGACCCUGAAAGUGGCUCCACUGAAACGUGGAGCUUUUCCUGCUCCCAGAAAAGCAGCAGGGCCUGAGAAAGAGCAGGGCGCCCCGAGCUGUUGUGGCAUGACAUACGGACCCCAGAGAGCAGUCCUGGUCCUGCCCUGCCCUUCCUGGAAUCCUUCAGCUGUCAAGUCCUAGCACCACCAUAAGGCAACAGCCUCCCAGCCUCACCAGGGUCAUGCUGCGGCAGCCUGGCGCCUGACGGAGUGAGGGGGAACCUGCCGGGGGAUUACUGCUAGCGCGAGCGGAACAGCGGGACAGCAGCGGGACAGCAGCCCUCAGGGGACUGGGGAUGGGCAGAACAGC